CUGAUAAGAACUUCCUCUAGAGCCAGGAAACUUUGCAAGUAUUAAAAAACCUGAAAGAAGGAGUAAAGAAGGAAGUGACUGACCAAGUGAAAAAGAGGAACAAGUUCUCAACCAGAGCAAGUUUAAAACAUAAGCAAAAGAACAAAACAGCGAGCUUGGCACAUCAAUCUUGAGGUUAUCAUGUUAUAAGACAGAAUGGACUCAUUCAUAUGGGAUUACAGAGGAAGGAGUGAUUAAGAAAAAGACAUCAGUUUCUGUCCACUCCAACAAAGGCUGGACCACUAACUGAAAGGAAGAUGUGAUGAGGCAUUGGUAGAGAGACGGAGAACACUGGGCAUCUCCAAGAACUCCCAGCAUGAGAAGCCCAUGCAAGAGAAGGAGUUGAAAUGCUGGAAACCAGCUCUCUCUCCAUCACCCUUUUCCUACAACAGCUUGGCUUUGAAGAGCAACCAGGAAAGAUUGAAAAUGUGCAGAGAAUACUGUUGUUGAGGGUGGUGGCAAGGUGUCCGCAGGAGUGACAUGGCCUGAGAGCCCACACGAGGAUUAAGGCAGCAAUAUUUCCCCGCAAGCCUGUGCUUCUAUUGCUAAGGGGACUGUGUAAGUCAGAUAAAUGUUAAACUCGUAAUUCACCCAGACACAGCUCUUAUACCAGCCAGGCCAAUCUAAUUAUCUCAGAGCAGGGACGAUGGGAACAGUGCAUGAGGGUGUGUUAGACAGUUUUCUACUAGCA
rnacentral:lncRNA from 1 species